ACACUUGUUAUUCCUUUUCUUUCUAAAAAAGAAACACAAUUAAAAAAUUCUAUCCCAACCAACUUUUGGAUAUAAUGCCAUUCAUUUGAAUUGCUUCAUUAUUAUUCUUACUAAACAAAGCACUAAAGACAAGUAAAAUAAAACAAAUACAAGAUAAAUACUCAUUUGUUGUCUAGUGCACAUAUUUUUGUUUGAUCAAGAUUAACCAAAUGACUUUUUUUAACCCCUCCCUGAAAUUUUGGGUCGUUUUUCUUCAUUGACACUCGAACUCAUAAUCUUAGGACUGAUUUGUGGAUCAUUUUUAACUUGUGGUAAUAAUCUCCUUCUGUAUCCAGAGAUUUCAGUAUCUAUACUCCAUCUCGCCCUGACUGAAAUUCAAUUAUAUAAAUUAUCAAAAUUAGAUUAUGGUUGGUAUAAGAUAAUUAAAAUGCAUACAUUCAAACAAUAAGUUUAGCAACACCUAUAUGCUGGAACGUAGAUUCGAAAUCAUUACUACCAUAAUAGGUAGAAUUUAGAUUGGUAGAGUCACAAUUUUCAUCAAGGGGAUUCAAAAUCAGAAUAAGUAAACGCGCGAAUUAGCCGAAGGAGGUCCGACUUUAAGCUGUAUAUACUAUAUAUAUGUAAAAAAAUAAUUUUAACCAUGUAUAAAUAAUAUAAUUUUCUAACGAAGGCGAUUGAGAUGAACCCUUGACUUUAAGCUGAUUCCGCCCAUGUUAGUGAUAUAUUAUCAAAAUAUUUAGAGUUACGAGUAAUUUAGCGACAAAUUAUCAACGGAAUUGAUAGUUAUUUUCAUUUUUUUCGUUUUUCAUGAAUAUAUAUAAUGAUAAAAAUAUAAAAAAAUAAAAUUAUAAUAUAUAAUCAUUUAAAUUUCUUCAUUAUUAUCCUUACAAAUUAAAACAACAAGAUCUUGCUCGGAAAAAUAAUGAAAUUAUUCAAGAGAUACUUCCAAAUGAAGCCAAAGAAAGUAAGACAAAUUAAAUAUAAAUUAAAACACAUCUAAGGAAAAUACUAAUUUGUUGUUUGAUCAAAGAUCAACAAAUUAUUUUUUUAACUCCUCCCUUGAACACCCAUUCUUUUUUGCUCCUUAGACACCCGAACUCGUAAUUUUAGGAUUGAAUUUCGGAACAUUUAUAAUUUGUGGUAAUAAUCUCCUUUCGAAUCCUGAAAUUUUAGGAUCUAUAUUUCAUUUCGUGCUGACUGAAAUUCAAUUAUAUAAAUUUGUCAAAAUUAGAUUAUGGUAUGUAUAAGAUAAAAAGCACUUUAAUAAUUAGUUUAGCAACGCCUUUAUGUCAAGAGCUUAGAUAUGAAAAUCACUAUUCUGUAGCUAAAUCCUAAUUAAUGAUAGGAUUAGUGAUAAAAGAAAAAGGUCAGCUUGAUGCACUAAAGCUCCAAUUAUGUACGGGGAUCAAUGAAGUGCCAAACCGCAAGGAUUUAUUUUAUGCAACAUUUCUGUAAGAGGUUAUUUUCAUGGCUUGAACUCAUGACCUCCUGGUCACUGGUCACAUGACAAUCACCUUAAUAAUUUAUUAGUGAUAUAUUAUCAGACCAUUUAAUUUUGUUAGUUACGAGAAAUUUAACGAUAAAUUAACAUCGGAAUUCAUAGUGUUUUUUCUUUUUUUUUUUUUUCUUUUUGUGGUGAAUAUAUAGAGAUAAGCAUCCAGUACCUCCUCGAACUAUGACCAAAGUUUCUACAACAUACUCUAACGUACUUUAUAUGGGUCUUAUUACCCCUGAAUUCAAUUUUAGUGUAUUUUUAUCACUCUUUUGUAUUGACAUGACACCUUUAUUAUAUAAAAAUGAGGCCCACAUCAAAGGUGUCACGUCGGCUAAAAAAGUGUCACAUUAAUUAAAAAGAGUGACAAAAAUAUGCUAAAAUUGAGUUCAGAGGUAAUAGGACCCUUGUGAAGUUGAAGUGUAUCGUAGCAAAUUUGAUCAGAAUUAAAGGGGUACUAGAUACUUUACUCGAAUAUAUGUAAUGAUAAAAAUACAGAAUUAUAAUAUAGAGAUAAGCAAGAAGGAAUCUAACCAUUGGGUGCCAUGAGAAGAAUAGUGAAUAUGAAGCCAAUCUUUAACAACACCAUGCUAGAAAAGAA
rnacentral:lncRNA from 1 species